rnacentral:misc_RNA from 1 species
GAAGAAUGUAGUUGAUUACAAGAGAACUGAGCUCUGCUUCCAAAGUUGAUGAUCUUCAAUUCAUCCUCCUCAACCCAAAACCAAAAGGAGCGAUGGUAGUGUGUAGUUAGCAACACAACAUUACAAUUGCCAACCCAUGUCUACACCACAUCAUGACCCACUGUUAUUUAAGCAUUGUAUAUUCCCAAGGCUGCCUGCAAUCAACCAAACCAAAUAAUGC